GUAGAGGACUGCUAAUUCCUAUGUAGGUGACAUUACAUUACUGCUAAUUCCUAUGUAGGUGACAUUACACUACUAUAGCUGAGACACAUAGUAAAACAGGUUGGGCCCCAUACAGGAUAUCUCUCACACACACACUCACUGUAAUCAUCCAGAACACUGUCACAACAGGAUACUCCUAGCCACAGGUGCUAGCCGGCAGUUCGGCCACAACUCCCCUGAAGAUAGGGACGCAUACGCUCUUACACACUGACCCCAGAAGACAGGGACGACGCACAUACAGUACACACAUAGCUGCCGAGGACACCCAGAUAAGACACCCACAGAUUGGCAGAAAGCCUAGACUUAGAGACAAACUAACACACACACAUAAUCUCCCUCCCAGCCGAACAUUGUGUGAUUGAAGAUAGCGCACACACCAGAUCUCCUUUUCAGCUGAGGGGGGUGUGACGACCAAGAACAGGCAUGGCAGGAUUCUACGAUGACGGACAGACAACAGAGCCAAUGCCGGAUGACUACACCCCAGCCUGAUCCAAUCCGAAGAUCCGAUUUCCUAGAUAUCAACCUACUUUCUGUUCUGUAUAUGAAGCUUGUACCCAUUGUUAGCUAGUGUCUUUUUUGCUAGUCUCUGAUGAGCUAACAGAGGGGCCCGUAUAUACGCUGUACCAGAUAUCUCCACUUUGAAAUAAACCUGUCGCUUGUCGUACAAUCUACCACCUUGUCUGCAUCGAUCCUUGACCGACUCACCCUUUAUCAUAUCCCAUUAUCAACAGAAAUGGUAGCCAGAGGAUGGUUAAAUAACGAUCCAUCAAAGUGAGUUGAUUUGGGUGUGAGAGGGAGAGAGGGUGAAAGGACGAUUCACGGAGGACAGAGGUGAAGGAAUUCGGGGGAGGACAACAAUUCUGCUCAACUCGGUAAACUGAUCACAAGGCGCACCACAAACAAGGAUUUUAUGCAUUACAGGUGAACUACAGGUGAAGUCACUCAAUCCAGUCCCAGAGGCUUGGGGACCAUAGAUGACCCCUGGUGACAGCUAGCUGAAAGAGCUACCCAGAUUCAUAUCGCACGGCGGAAGGUUAAGACACAUUUUUUCACUGUCGGACAUUAAAACAGUGUUCGAGAGAAGAACUGGAAUUAACAGAAUUCCGGGGGCCAACUCUCGAAUGAAGUAACCCUACCUGUCCUAUCACCCCUGUUUUUGUUCAUAGAAGUGAGGAUGUGUCUGGCUCUGGCUAAGUGAUGUGUAUUUUGUUCCAAAAUGAGCAUAAGAGAUCCCUAGAUCGGGGUAGACAAGAAGUUAGAGUAGAGAUUACAUGAUAACCGACUUCGGACAGUUCUAGGAUUGGAGAAGAGGGUAUCCUUAUAGCAAGGGGGAUCCCACAAGGGUGGAUAGGUUUUCCAUGAUAUGGGGAAACCUGGGAGCAAUGUUGAACUUUGUAAAGGUGAUGAAAUCCUACUAACCAUCAAAACUAUUAAGCUCUCUGAUGCAGGCACUCACACCCUCGGACUACAAAGGACGAGGACAGACAUGAUGGGUGUGUUUUCUAUUAAGGUACUGCCAAGACCAGAGGUAACCGGACACACUCCUCUACCACCACUGUGUUAAAAAUACCAUUCAGGUAAUUAAUGUUAGAGAUUAUUCGGAUAUUGAUCAAUUAGGAACUGAGACUGGUUUUGAUAGUAGGGACAAUUUGUGGCUGUCUUAUAUGAGGUACACAGCUAAAACCCUGGGAGGAAAGGACUGCAUUAUUUGUAGUCAUGCUAGACCUGUUCUGGCUACACACCCAUUUGCUGUAGGAGAAGGAGAGGGGUGGUUGUGUAUUCUGAGAAGUUUUUACCAGGUUAAGCCCAAUUCAACCCUCUGUUCCUCUUUGAGCCUUGUGUUUCCUGCAGUACCUCCUCAUCGGGCCUCUUGGGGUGUUGAGGCAUAUGGGGGCAAUUAAGAGUGCAUCACGGGUACAGGUAAUGGCAUUGAUUAUGGGGGAUUGCCUGAAGCUGAUUGCAGUAGUAACAUAACCAUUAAUUCCACUUGGCCAGUUACAGGCUGAUGUGAGGUGGAUGAGUGGAGCCAAGAGUGCUGAGACCCAUUCUUAGAGGAGAAUGGCAAGGUACGUGUGCUCUGACCAGUUUGAUAAUUCCACUGACCAUUGUUGAUGUUACUGCUGAACAGCUGUUGGGUUCUGUAUCCAAGGGACCUGAAAACAUUCCAUCCCAUGGGAGACAUAGACGUAGCGCUCAGAGAAUGUAGACAUAAACACUAACCUGUUGGGUGUGCCAGUGGGGGUUCCUCAUGAGUUUCAGGCCUUGGGUAGGAAUGAUGGACUCUGGCACUUACUACCUACUAUGGGUCCAGCCAUGGUGGAUGAUAGACAGACUGCAUGGAUUAAUUAUAUCUACUAUAAUCAACAGCGGUUUGUGAAUUACUCCCGUGAUGCACUCACUGGUAUGUCUGAACAGCUUGAGGCCACAUUUGGGGUUUCCAGACAGAAUAGACUUGCCUUGGAUAUGCUUCUUGCCAGUCAGGGGGACGUUUGCAAGAUGUUCGGUAAACAAUGUUGCACGUAUAUUCCUAAUAAUACCAGUCCAGAUGAUAUCUAGGGCGGGCUUGAUGCACUAUCUGAUAAGAUGAGGUCCACGGGGGGGUGGAGGAGUCUGUUCUCUUGGCCUGGUUUGGUAAGUACACUGAUAUGAUGGUUACUGGAUUUCUGACCCUAAUUCUUGUAUUAUUUGUUAUUGAUGUGAUGUGCUGCUUGCAUCAUACCGUGUUCUAAGAAAUAUGUUACAGAUAUGGUGAAGGCUUCAGGCAUGUUGCCUUUGCUUGAUGCUCCAGUUGGAGAUGCCGAUACGGAAGCAUGCUUUCAGGAGAGGAUGGGACUGACUGAGGAUGACCCAUGGUAUGCUGUGGGUGAGGUAGUAGAAUCAUUUUACACCACCACAGUUCCUUGUUAUAAAUUUUUAUGAUAGGUUUUCUUUCCAGUAUGUUUGUUCUCCCUGUUGUAAAGGUUUAGAGUCCCUGGGUGGCAAGGAGCCCACCUGAUACAGGAUAGAAGUAGCUGAGAGGACCAGAUGGUUUCUAAUAAUUCUUUCCUCUGUUUUCCAUGACCAAAGUUUUAUCCUACAUCUUACAUGUCAAUAACAAUAAAGUUUUAUCCUGUUUUUGAUAAGUGACACCCUUGUGGGUGUCAAAAGGGGGAAACGCAUAUAACAAUAGACAUAUAUCACUUGUUAUUAAUAAUAAACUUUUUUUAUUAUUUUCAUGAAAUGCUAUGACUGCUGAAAUAAAGGAUAAUGAGUGUCAAAAGGGGGACUUAAAUUUCACACCCUUGGGGUUAUUUUACAUUAUAGCCAUUACCAUAUAUAUUAUCUGCUGUUGCCUUGGGUGGAUGUGUGUAUGUGUUAUGUUCUCUAGCUGAUUUGAAACAUUGUUGAAAGUAUCAGGGCCAUGGAACUUUCUCAUGCUGGGAAAAUACAGAAGGGAGGGCACAUUCAGAGCGUGGGGUUGCGAGAACAAGCAGUCUUUUGUUAGAUAACAGGAGCCAGGUGCGAGAUAACGGUAUGGAGCAUGAGACCCAUCUUUUAGUUUUUGCAGCCAUUUUAGUGUUGUGCGGCUGCGGUUGCAUUCCAUGUAUCCGGUCCCUUACUGCUAGAGUUAUCUCCAGAGCUAUUGACCCUUCUUCCCCUUCCCAGAUGUAUCUUCUGCUUGCUAAUGACCUGCCAGAGUUUGAGGAUGAGGUGGAGAAUACCCUUUAGAGAGUGUCACAUCUCUUUGGAGAUGUGAAGAGAGGGUAUCACAACUUUUUCCUGCUGGAAAAGGUUGGCUUAUGUGGACAAACAUUUUACUUAUAGCUUAGAGCUGUUGUUCUCCGCAAUUGUUAAAUGAGGGUUGUAAGUUCCUAGGUGGCUGGUAGCCAACUUAGUACAUAGUGGGAUUGAGUGGAGAACUUGGUGGUAAUACAUAUACAUCCAUUUCUUUUUAAUGUUGUGCCUUUUUCAUAGCCCCUUUGGGAAAAGUUUUCUUUUGUAUCAGAAUCUAGUUAGGUUGUGUCACGUCUCUGGGGAGACGUGAAGAGAGGGAUUUGUAGAGGACUGCUAAUUCCUAUGUAGGUGACAUUACAUUACUGCUAAUUCCUAUGUAGGUGACAUUACACUACUAUAGCUGAGACACAUAGUAAAACAGGUUGGGCCCCAUACAGGAUAUAUCUCACACACACACACUCACUGUAAUCAUCCAGAACACUGUCACAACAGGAUACUCCUAGCCACAGGUGCUAGCCGGCAGUUCGGCCACAACUCCCCUGAAGAUAGGGACGCAUACGCUCUUACACACUGACCCCAGAAGACAGGGACGACGCACAUACAGUACACACAUAGCUGCCGAGGACACCCAGAUAAGACACCCACAGAUUGGCAGAAAGCCUAGACUUAGAGACAAACUAACACACACACAUAAUCUCCCUCCCAGCCGAACAUUGUGUGACUGAAGAUAGCGCACACACCAGAUCUCCUUUUCAGCUGAGGGGGGUGUGACGACCAAGAACAGGCAUGGCAGGAUUCUACGAUGACGGACAGACAACAGAGCCAAUGCCGGAUGACUACACCCCAGCCUGAUCCAAUCCGAAGAUCCGAUUUCCUAGAUAUCAACCUACUUUCUGUUCUGUAUAUGAAGCUUGUACCCAUUGUUAGCUAGUGUCUUUUUUGCUAGUCUCUGAUGAGCUAACAGAGGGGCCCGUAUAUACGCUGUACCAGAUAUCUCCACUUUGAAAUAAACCUGUCGCUUGUCGUACAAUCUAC